rnacentral:rRNA from 1 species
UGCUGGAGGUAUCAGAAGUGCGAAUGCUGACAUAAGUAACGAUAAAGCGGGUGAAAAGCCCGCUCGCCGGAAGACCAAGGGUUCCUGUCCAACGUUAAUCGGGGCAGGGUGAGUCGACCCCUAAGGCGAGGCCGAAAGGCGUAGUCGAUGGGAAACGGGUUAAUAUUCCCGUACUUGGUGUUACUGCGAAGGGGGGACGGAGAAGGCUAUGUUGGCCGGGCGACGGUUGUCCCGGUUUAAGCGUGUAGGUGUGUGUUCCAGGUAAAUCCGGUUCACUUUAACACUGAGGCGUGACGACGAGGCACUACGGUGCUGAAGCAACAAAUGCCCUGCUUCCAGGAAAAGCCUCUAAGCAUCAGGUAACAUCAAAUCGUACCCCAAACCGACACAGGUGGUCAGGUAGAGAAUACCAAGGCGCUUGAGAGAACUCGGGUGAAGGAACUAGGCAAAAUGGUGCCGUAACUUCGGGAGAAGGCACGCUGACACGUAGGUGAAGUGAUUUACUCAUGGAGCUGAAGUCAGUCGAAGAUACCAGCUGGCUGCAACUGUUUAUUAAAAACACAGCACUGUGCAAACACGAAAGUGGACGUAUACGGUGUGACGCCUGCCCGGUGCCGGAAGGUUAAUUGAUGGGGUCAGCGCAAGCGAAGCUCCUGAUCGAAGCCCCGGUAAACGGCGGCCGUAACUAUAACGGUCCUAAGGUAGCGAAAUUCCUUGUCGGGUAAGUUCCGACCUGCACGAAUGGCGUAAUGAUGGCCAGGCUGUCUCCACCCGAGACUCAGUGAAAUUGAACUCGCUGUGAAGAUGCAGUGUACCCGCGGCAAGACGGAAAGACCCCGUGAACCUUUACUAUAGCUUGACACUGAACAUUGAGCCUUGAUGUGUAGGAUAGGUGGGAGGCUUUGAAGUGUGGACGCCAGUCUGCAUGGAGCCGACCUUGAAAUACCACCCUUUAAUGUUUGAUGUUCUAACGUGGACCCGUAAUCCGGGUUGCGGACAGUGUCUGGUGGGUAGUUUGACUGGGGCGGUCUCCUCCUAAAGAGUAACGGAGGAGCACGAAGGUUGGCUAAUCCUGGUCGGACAUCAGGAGGUUAGUGCAAUGGCAUAAGCCAGCUUGACUGCGAGCGUGACGGCGCGAGCAGGUGCGAAAGCAGGUCAUAGUGAUCCGGUGGUUCUGAAUGGAAGGGCCAUCGCUCAACGGAUAAAAGGUACUCCGGGGAUAACAGGCUGAUACCGCCCAAGAGUUCAUAUCGACGGCGGUGUUUGGCACCUCGAUGUCGGCUCAUCACAUCCUGGGGCUGAAGUAGGUCCCAAGGGUAUGGCUGUUCGCCAUUUAAAGUGGUACGCGAGCUGGGUUUAGAACGUCGUGAGACAGUUCGGUCCCUAUCUGCCGUGGGCGCUGGAGAACUGAGGGGGGCUGCUCCUAGUACGAGAGGACCGGAGUGGACGCAUCACUGGUGUUCGGGUUGUCAUGCCAAUGGCACUGCCCGGUAGCUAAAUGCGGAAGAGAUAAGUGCUGAAAGCAUCUAAGCACGAAACUUGCCCCGAGAUGAGUUCUCCCUGAGACUUAGAGUCUCCUGAAGGAACGUUGAAGACGACGACGUUGAUAGGCCGGGUGUGUAAGCGCAGCGAUGCGUUGAGCUAACCGGUACUAAUGAACCGUGAGGCUUAACCUUACAACGCCGA